ACGCUGGCGGCAGGCCUAACACAUGCAAGUCGAGCGGUAGAGAGAAGCUUGCUUCUCUUGAGAGCGGCGGACGGGUGAGUAAUGCCUAGGAAUCUGCCUGGUAGUGGGGGGUAGCGUUCGGAAACGGACGCUAAUACCGCAUACGUCCUACGGGAGAAAGCAGGGGACCUUCGGGCCUUGCGCUAUCAGAUGAGCCUAGGUCGGAUUAGCUAGUUGGUGAGGUAAUGGCUCACCAAGGCGACGAUCCGUAACUGGUCUGAGAGGAUGAUCAGUCACACUGGAACUGAGACACGGUCCAGACUCCUACGGGAGGCAGCAGUGGGGAAUAUUGGACAAUGGGCGAAAGCCUGAUCCAGCCAUGCCGCGUGUGUGAAGAAGGUCUUCGGAUUGUAAAGCACUUUAAGUUGGGAGGAAGGGCAGUAAAUUAAUACUUUGCUGUUUUGACGUUACCGACAGAAUAAGCACCGGCUAACUCUGUGCCAGCAGCCGCGGUAAUACAGAGGGUGCAAGCGUUAAUCGGAAUUACUGGGCGUAAAGCGCGCGUAGGUGGUUUGUUAAGUUGGAUGUGAAAUCCCCGGGCUCAACCUGGGAACUGCAUUCAAAACUGACUGACUAGAGUAUGGUAGAGGGUGGUGGAAUUUCCUGUGUAGCGGUGAAAUGCGUAGAUAUAGGAAGGAACACCAGUGGCGAAGGCGACCACCUGGACUAAUACUGACACUGAGGUGCGAAAGCGUGGGGAGCAAAC
rnacentral:rRNA from 1 species